CCCAGUAAACGGCGGCCGUAACAAUAACGGUCCUAAGGUAGCGAAAUUCCUUGUCGGGUAAGUUCCGACCUGCACGAAUGGCGUAACGACUUCCCCACUGUCUCCAGGAUAUGCUCAGCGAAAUUGAAUUCUCCGUGAAGAUGCGGAGUACCCGCGGUUAGACGGAAAGACCCCAUGAACCUUUACUCUAGCUUCGCACUGGCACCAGGCCAGGCAUGUGCAGGAUAGGUGGUAGGCUUUGAAGCAGGGACGCUAGUUUCUGUGGAGCCGCAAGAUGAGAUACCACCCUUAUCGUCAUAGAUGUCUAACCGCGGCAUAACAGUGUCCGGGACAGCGUAUGGUGGGUAGUUUGACUGGGGCGGUCUCCUCCUAAAGAGUAACGGAGGAGUACGAAGGUGCGCUCAGCGUGGUCGG
rnacentral:rRNA from 15 species